CCAAGCGUGCCCACAGAAUGACAUGCACAUGUGAGUGCACAUGAACGCGUUACUCUACUAGGAGGUUGCAUGCUCGCGAGUAAAUGAUCAAGCAAGAUAAUGCCAAAGAUAUUCAGGCUUGAGCGGCAUCAGGAAAUCAGAAUACCCAAUAUAGGUUCCAUCUACUUGCAGGCCUCUCUAUGCCCAAAGAUAUUCAGGCUUAGCAUCCCUGGAAGAUGCCUGAAAUCCGGGCUGUAAAUGUCUCGAGGAGCAGGACACACCAUAUCAGCGUGGAAGAAUUGAGGUUUGAAGGACACAAGUGGCUGAUGCAAGUCUGAGGGAGGUUGGAGCACAUGGCUUACGGAUAUAUAACAACAAAUUGUCUGCGCUACUCGGAGAACUUAUAUCAAAUAUUUCGGAAUCUAAACAAUCUCAAAUGAGAAAAAAAAUUCAAUUACAAAGUUUCAGAUAUCGUCAAGCUCUGUAAUUCUAAUAUAAAGCUUUUCACUGUCA
rnacentral:lncRNA from 1 species